GCCCCUGCCUCUCUCAAAAUGCUGGCGUUUGGUGGUGCCGUCUGCUUCCCGCCCCAUAUAAUGCCACUCUUCGCGCCCGCCUUCCUCCCUCUUCCUUCUCCUUCUACACACGGCCCUCAGCCUCUUUGUCUCGCCCCAAAAUUCUUGCCCCUUCGCCUGCCUUCCUCUCACCGGUCGUUUACUCUACGCCCAUGGCUCUCUUCCGUCGUUCGCCUUCUCCUUCGAGCAUACACUCACCUGCCGACCUCCCAGACGGUCCUUGCCCCCUCCCUCGCGUGUGCCUGCGACCGACCUUGCCCUGCCGGCUCCCUUGCUGCUACAUCUACGCCCCCAUCAGCUCUUCAGUGUUGAGGUUGCCCGCCUCUGCCUUCGAAAUGGCUGCCUUCCCAGUCAACCGCUCCUGCCUUUUCGGCGUCUACUGCUGGCGCUGAUUGUUCUCCAUUUCUGUUUUGCGCUGCCAUCUUAAACCUGUUCGAUGAAAUGCCUAUGACAGUCGACCCCGAUUUCCACUGCUCGCAGGAGAGGAUUUCGGUCCAUUUUCGAUUCAGUUUCCAGUCGCGUUCUAAUUCAUGUGGGCUUGGGAUAGCCGAGGGGAGGGUUCACCAGUAUGGAUGGUACACGAAGUACAACUAUAAAUGUCCGCACUGCCUGAAGAAACUCCACAUCAAAAUUAACGGCCAUCGGUCGGGACCACAAUUUCAGUUGCAGAUUGGGAUGCUGUGUAGCGAUGGAACUGAGGGUCUCCCAGAACUCAAUUCUUCCCAAUGAUGCCAUAUUUUAAGUUGCAGUAAGCGCAUAUUUGAAUCUGUUACAGUAAGAAACUACUCGCACAAAAAAAAAAAAAAAGAGUUGGUCACAGACAGAGGUAUUAAUUGAAUUGUUUUUUUUCCAAUGAUCAUUGCGAUUGGUUGAACAACUUAAAAUAGCUGUUCGUUAGUAAUUUAACUCCCAGUUUUGGAUUAUAGGACAAUAUAUUCAUUUGCAGCCAAUAAACUAUUUGUCCAAUAGACUAUGAUAGUCUUAAUUUGGAAAAUAAAUAUGGCUCGAUUAUGUUUAUCUUUUUGUUUCCUUUUUUAUUCUGGAGCCAAGGACAUACAUAUACAAUGCCUAUUAUAGGAUACAAAGAUGAGACAGGAUGAUGGAUCCUCCAUGUUUCUCUCCCCGUGGGAUUCUUGGACCCAUAUAUUAUCCUCAUCUGAGAUGUGCUGCAACAAUUAUCAGGUUCGUGCCUUGUUCGAAUGAUCCAGACUAGAGAGGGAUUUCAAACGGGAAUUCUGUUCGUGAAGCAUGGAAGUGCAAAGGUUUGUUCGUUUUGCUGGGCCAUUUUCAUUUCACUUUACAAUGAAGUAUGACUUUCGUGGCUAAAAAAACAAAGUAUUUGUAUAACUUCAGUAUUCCACUUUUUGGGAGCUCAAAUGUUGAUGUAUGGUCUCUCACGAAUAUCUGUAGGAAAGAAAGAAAAUAAAAUGAGUAUGAAAGUUAUUGGUUGGUCCAAAUUUCGUUUUGCCCAUUCCUCAAGUUACACUUUUUCUCAUGUUAAUGUCAUGUACUUAUAUGCUUGUAUAGAUCUUUGUUGAACAGAACUACCUUGCAUUUGUAAUAAAACUUUUAUUUGAUGCCUUGUGGUAUGUGCUUGUCAGUGGUUGAUGACACGAAACUAACUUGUUAUGAAUGUUACUUUUAAUAAUUUCUAUGAAUUGUUUGUCCAGUUAACUUUAUUUCAAUUGAAAAUUAUUACUUAUAAAAAAAAUGAAAAUGAUUAUAUCUUUAUUCUUGGGUGAUAGAUAGUCAUUUGUGAGCUUAAGGAAAUUGUAAAAGAGACGGUUCUUGAUAAGGUUCUUAUAUGUUUCUGCUCAUCCUGCUGAUGAUACUUUCAGAUCCAUUGUAUUACUCGAUAUCUCCUUUCAUCUUCGAAUUUUUCUGGACAGUGUUGAAGUAGUCAUGGGUAGAUCACCUGAGCUUGUCAGCUUAGACCAUUUUUUUGAUAUAUUAUAUCAAUUUAGUGCUACGACGCCAAUUUUGAAUGCUUGAUUUCCCGAAUGGAAGGCAACCAUUAUACAGCUACUGCACUUGAAUUUUUCAGAUUAUCUCGAUCCUGAUAAUCUUGCUUCUCUCAAUCCAUUUUUUGUUUCUCUAAGUUCCAAGGUAAAAAUCAAGUCCUUAACAAUCUGUCCGAAUUAUUACAAUGAGAUCUACAAGCAUUGUUAGUGGCUUCUACCUUUCCGUUUCCUCCCUGCCCGAAUGCAGCGAUCUGCCUGUCUCUCUCUCUGUUCGCAGUCAUUAGAACUCCAGCAGCCUCCUCCUCUCCAGCUCAGCUCCAACGGCAACUACUCCGCCGACCACCACCAAAGCAAUAGCGGCUUGGUCCCCUCUUCUUCCUCGCAGCUUCCCCCACCACAUGCAGCCUCCACCUCGCUGUUGUCGCUCCACGAAACCUGAGGCACAACUUGAGCUCCCCAUUGCAGCGGCCCUACCUCCGUUCCGAUUAGUCUUAGUUCCUUCCUGGCAAGAAGCCCGAGCCUCAGCUCAUCUUUCCUCUCCACUUACCAGUAGCACUGACCUGACUAUGGUAAGGCUCGCUGAGAUUCCAAAAUCCCUAAUUUAGCUAUUUAUGCGUGGCUGAGAUGAUUGAUUAUCCUUCAAUCGAUUUGUGCUUGUUUUGUUCGAUUUUGAUAAGUAGAGGUCGUGUUUGUUGUGCUAGCUGAGUUGCAUGACGAUUCUUUGUCUGAUUCAUGAUAGUUGGACAUGAUUUUGUGUGCUUGAAAUGGUGUUCAAGUACGUGGCUGAGUUGUGGAAUGUUGCUUCAAUGAUUGAAUGUUGCCUUACAAAUCUUGGCUUAAGGUCACAGGUAAACUGCCCAGGUUCGAUGUUCUAGGAAGUUGAAACACAUAUAUCACCGAAUGAAAGAAAUAGGUUGUUUUGGAAUAAUUUCAAAGGAACACAUUUUUGUUAAGCACUUAGUAGACAAGUUGAUUGUUGACUUUUUUAAUAUUUUAUUUAAUGUCAGAGAGUAUUUGCUAUCCUUGGCCUUCUUAAUGGAAUGCAUAUAUAAGGAUUGGAUCAAUAUAACGAUGAGUAUCAUUGAUCAAUACGGUUAUGGAUUUGUCUGUGGGUGUGAGAACAACUGUCUCCUCAUUAUUUUGACCUGAUGAGAAUUGCAGAGGAUUUGUCGAGGAAACUGUGGAAGCUUUCAACUUGGUAUGGGAGAAAGUCUCUGUUUUCCUAUAAUUUUAAGUCUCAUUUUUCUUCGAAAAAAAAAAAAAUUGGAGAGAAGAUUUCAUGCUUCAUUGAAAGAAUUCAUCUUCUUAAACAUAAUUUCCUUCUUAUUUCCUUACGCUUUUCGUAUAUGAAUAUGUUAUGCUUGGACCAAUAUCUAGAAAACACUAUUCAUAAAAUAAGCUUCAUGAACUUCAAUUUUCUUUCAAGAGCAUCACCUUGAGAAUAAAUGCCUAAAAUCUCCAAAAAAAAUUCCUCUGCAGCCAAAUAUUAUUAAUAUAUAGUAUAACAAAUGUUAAAAAUAUAUGUUGCAAAAAAUGAAUCUGGAGAAUAGAAUGAAGUUUAUAUUAAGAGUGUUUUCCAUGAUUUGGAAUAUAUUUAUUUAGACAUGUUCAAUUUUCCACUUCCAAAUUUAGUCAUAUAAAUAGUGAGUCAUAACAAUAAAUAUUGUAACUUUUGUUAGUUCGACCUUAUGACCACAUCUAUAUUUUUUUAGGAGAAUUUACCUAAAAUGGUUCAUGGUUUAUCUAUUUUGUCAAAUCUAUAAUAUGUUUUUUUUAUCAAAUCUAUCAUAUAGUUUACUUUUUGCAUUAAAUCUAUGUCGGCUUUAUCUUUUUCGUCGACAUCUAACGGCCGUGUUGACGUGGUGUCUACGUGGCAAGUAUAGUCCACUAUCUCUCCACGUGCCAAGUCAAUAUGGCCGUUAGAUGUUGACGGAAAAGAUAACGCCGGGAUAAAUUUGAUACAAAAAAUAAACCAUGUGAUAGAUUUGACAAAAUAGAUAAACCAUUGACCAUUUUAGGUAAAAAUCCUUUUUUUUUUUUUAUAUAUAUCUCAAACUCUACUUCUCUUAGAAUUGAAACUUAUGGUGCAGAAUUUCAUGGAGAAAGAUCUCCUAGGUUUAAAAUGUGCUCCCGAAUUCUUACAGCUAAGGUGAAAGGAAAUCUAGAGCGCAUCCUAAUUCUUUAAUGCUAUUACCGUUGAAGAUAAGUCAUUAUAAUAGUCAUUAUUGUCAGCGCUCAGCUUAGUUAAUACAAUAUUUAAGCCAUUUUAUGCCAUUAGCACGAAAUCUACACCUUUCUGUGUUGAUUCAACUAGAUAUGCACAAUAAUGUAUGACAUUUUUGAAGAUCUAUACAUGUACUUUAUUCUCGUCUUUUUCUAGCAAAGUGAAUAAUUAAAACAUUUUCAUGUAAUAUUUAUAUUCAUUGACAUUUUGUGUAUAUUGGUCUAUUUGUAUUUAUAAUCAAUUAGUUUAUUGGGCAUUUGAAAUUAAAUUCAAAAUUAGAAAAAAAAAAAAAAAGAAAUAAGAUUAUACCUAUCAUUUGGUGCAGGUAUA